rnacentral:lncRNA from 1 species
GGGUUUCGAUUUUGUGCUAUUCGGCUAACCAAAUAACCGAACAAGAUGUUUAAAAAAAUUAAGGCUUAAAUUUAAAACACUAAUAUUAACUCUUCACUCUCCAUCUCUUAUCUUAUCUCAAUCUUCAUAUAUCGAUUAUCAACUCUCAUCAGUCAUCACUCAUCAGUCUCUCAUCUCUAAUCUCUCGAUCUCGCAUCUCUACUCUCAGAUCUCGAUCACUGAUCAGUCUCUCAUCUCGAUCUCGAUUUCAAGUGCCUCAACUCCGCUUGGCAUCCGAACGGGGAACCAAAGUAUGGACGGAACCUCAUCUUCGAGCCUCUGACGGUAUUUAUCGACUCUAAGCCUCCGAGUACCAUGGAUAGCAUUUUAAGAAGAAGCUACAUCGUCUGGAUACAUUUCCUUUCUCUCUCCUUUCUUCUCUCUCCUCUCGUCGGCUGUCGCGCUUCUUUGGAGUAAUUGAGGGUAUUGGACUUUGGAGUAAUUGAUACACUACACUGAAGGGGCUACAGUUACUUGGUUUAUUUGGGUAGUUUUUUUUUAUUUUUAGUACAGGUAUUAGCCGUAAGCUAUAUAUCCCUAGCCAUUUGUUAUAUUCCUAUCUUUUUAACUUUAUCUUCCUUAAAUCUUCAUUCAGGAUAGAUGUGUCUCUUGUGAAAUUUAGUGUCUCUGUUUAAGAAAGUCGACUGAUUCUUUAUUAGGCUAGUUAUUCCCUCUCUCUGGUAUCUGCUUCUAUUCCCUUCGUUUGUUAGAAUAAAUACGCUAACAAAGGAGCCCUUCGCUUGUCGGAAUAAAUACGCUAACAAAGGAGCCCUUUACUACUUAUAUUUCUCUCCUUUGUUUUAGUCUUGUUGCUUACUUGCUUGCUUACACAACUAAUAAGCUUGAAUAUUUAAUGUUCACUGAAUCAUUGAUAUGUUAAACAUUAUAAAACAUAUGAAGGAUUUGCAAAAUGACUUUUUAUGUGGAGUAUAAAACAUGCAUAUGAUAUUUUGUUGAUGUAUUUCUUUGCUUCUGAUUUUAAGUUUUUUCCUCCAUUUGAAGAGUAUUUGUAAUGGGUUUUGUUUUGUUUGAGAAAUCAGAAACAUAUUUCUUAAUUUUAUUUAUUACCCGAAC